UACGGAGGGGGCAAGCGUUGUUCGGAAUUACUGGGCGUAAAGCGCACGUAGGCGGUUUUGUAAGUCUGGGGUCAAAGGCGACAGCUCAACUGUCGUAAGGCCUUAGAUACUAUAGAACUGGAGUGCCAGAGAGGAUGGCGGAAUUCCCGGUGUAGCGGUGAAAUGCGUAGAUAUCGGGAGGAAUACCAGUGGCGAAGGCGGCCUUCUGGACUGACACUGACACUGAGGUGCGAAAGCGUGGGUAGCAAACAGG
rnacentral:rRNA from 1 species